GGCUCCUUGGUCAAGCGGUUAAGACACCGCCCUUUCACGGCGGUAACACGGGUUCGAGUCCCGUAGGAGAUCA
rnacentral:tRNA from 1 species